GUGCCAGCAGCCGCGGUAAUACGUAGGGGGCAAGCGUUGUCCGGAAUCAUUGGGCGUAAAGAGCGUGUAGGCGGUUCGGUAAGUCCGCUGUAAAAGUCCAGGGCUCAACCCUGGAAAGCCGGUGGAAACUGUCGAACUAGAGUCCGGAAGAGGCGAGUGGAAUUCCUGGUGUAGCGGUGAAAUGCGCAGAUAUCAGGAGGAACACCAAUGGCGAAGGCAGCUCGCUGGGACGGUACUGACGCUGAGACGCGAAAGCGUGGGGAGCAAACAGGAUUAGAUACCCUGGUAGUCC
rnacentral:rRNA from 1 species